rnacentral:rRNA from 1 species
AAUGAACGCUGGCGGCGUGCUUUACACAUGCAAGUUGAGCGAGGCCACCCGCAAGGGUGAGUCGAGCGGCGAACGGGUGAGUAACGCGUGGAUAACCUGCCCUGAGGUGGGGAAUAACCCGGGGAAACUCGGGCUAAUACCGCAUGAUACCUAGCGGUCAAAGGGGGCUCGCAAGAGCUCUUGCCACAGGAGGGGUCCGCGUUCGAUUAGCUAGUUGGUAGGGUAAUGGCCUACCAAGGCGACGAUCGAUAGCCGGCCUGAGAGGGUGAUCGGCCACACUGGAACUGAGACACGGUCCAGACUCCUACGGGAGGCAGCAGUGGGGAAUUUUGCGCAAUGGGCUAACGCCUGACGCAGCAACGCCGCGUGGAGGAUGAAGGUCUUUGGAUUGUAAACUCCUGUCAGCAGGGAAAAAGGGAGGGGACCUAAUACGUGCCUGACUUGAUUGUACCUGCAGAGGAAGCCCCGGCUAACUCUGUGCCAGCAGCCGCCGUAAG